UGCAGUCGACGAUGAACCACUUCGGUGGGGAUUAGUGGCGAACGGGUGAGUAACACGUGGGCAAUCUGCCCUUCACUCUGGGACAAGCCCUGGAAACGGGGUCUAAUACCGGAUAACACUCCUACNNGCAUNNGUGGGGGUUGAAAGCUCCGGCGGUGAAGGAUGAGCCCGCGGCCUAUCAGCUUGUUGGUGAGGUAGUGGCUCACCAAGGCGACGACGGGUAGCCGGCCUGAGAGGGCGACCGGCCACACUGGGACUGAGACACGGCCCAGACUCCUACGGGAGGCAGCAGUGGGGAAUAUUGCACAAUGGGCGAAAGCCUGAUGCAGCGACGCCGCGUGAGGGAUGACGGCCUUCGGGUUGUAAACCUCUUUCAGCAGGGAAGAAGCGAAAGUGACGGUACCUGCAGAAGAAGCGCCGGCUAACUACGUGCCAGCAGCCGCGGUAAUACGUAGGGCGCAAGCGUUGUCCGGAAUUAUUGGGCGUAAAGAGCUCGUAGGCGGUCUGUCGCGUCGGAUGUGAAAGCCCGGGGCUUAACCCCGGGUCUGCAUUCGAUACGGGCAGACUAGAGUGUGGUAGGGGAGAUCGGAAUUCCUGGUGUAGCGGUGAAAUGCGCAGAUAUCAGGAGGAACACCGGUGGCGAAGGCGGAUCUCUGGGCCAUUACUGACGCUGAGGAGCGA
rnacentral:rRNA from 1 species